rnacentral:rRNA from 1 species
AUUGAACGCUGGCGGCAUGCUCUACACAUGCAAGUCGAACGGUAACAGGCCGCAAGGUGCUGACGAGUGGCGAACGGGGGAGUAAUGCAUCGGAACGUGCCCAGUCGUGGGGGAUAACUACUCGAAAGAGUAGCUAAUACCGCAUACGAUCUAUGGAUGAAAGCGGGGGACCGUAAGGCCUCGCGCGAUUGGGGCGGCCGAUGUCAGAUUAGGUAGUUGGUGGGGUAAAGGCUCACCAAGCCAACGAUCUGUAGCUGGUGUGAGAGGACGACCAGCCACACUGGGACUGGAACACGGCCCAGGGUACUACGGGAGGGAGCAGUGGGGAAUUUUGGACAACGGGCGCGAGCCUGGUCCAGCAAUGCCGCGUGCAGGAAGAAGGCCUUCGGGUUGUAAACUGCUUUUGUACGGAACGAAACGGCUCUGGUUAAUACCCGGCGCUAAUGACGGUACCGUAAGAAUAAGCACCGGCUAACUACGUG